GAAAGCGUGGGGAGCAAACAGGAUUAGAUACCCUGGUAGUCCACGCCGUAAACGAUGAGUACUAAGUGUCGGGUUAAACCGGUACUGAAGUUAACACAUUAAGUACUCCGCCUGAGUAGUACGUACGCAAGUAUGAAACUUAAAGGAAUUGACGGGACUCCGCACAAGCGGUGGAUCAUGUUGUUUAAUUCGAAGAUACCCGAAAAACCUUACCAGGUCUUGACAUGUUUUUGCAAAAUGAUAGUAAUAUCGUGGAGGUUACCAGAAACACAGGUGGUGCAUGGUUGUCGUCAGCUCGUGUCGUGAGAUGUUAGGUUAAGUCCUAAAACGAGCGAAACCCUUAUCGUUAGUUGCCAGCACGUUAUGGUGGGGACUUUAACGAGACUGCCAAUGAUAAAUUGGAGGAAGGUGAGGAUCACGCAAAUCAGCAUGCCCCUUAUGACCUGGGCUACAAACGUGAUACAAUGGCUGUUACAAAGGGUAGCUGAAACGCAAGUUCUUGGCCAAUCCCCAAAAACAGUCCCAGUCCGGAUUGAAGUCUGCAACUCGACUUCAUGAAGUUGGAAUCGCUAGUAAUCGCGAAUCAGCAUGUCGCGGUGAAUACGUUCUCGGGGUUUGUACACACCGCCCGUCAAACCACGAAAGUUGGCAAUACCCCAAAACGGUAGCCUAACUCGUUUAUUCGAGAGGGCGCCGUCUAAGGUAGGGUCGAUGAUUGGGGUUAAGUCGUAACAAGGUAUCCCUACCGGAAGGUGGGGAUGGAUCACCUCCUUUCUAAGGAAACCAAUAAAAUCAAUCAUCUUCAGUUUUGAAAGACUUAGGCAACUAAGUUUUUCUUCGUGACUUCACGAAGGGCCUAUAGCUCAGCUGGUAGAGCA
rnacentral:sRNA from 1 species